rnacentral:rRNA from 1 species
GACGAACGCUGGCGGCGUGCUUAACACAUGCAAGUCGAACGGGUCUGCCCUGUUUUUUGCGGGGUGGGGCAGUGGCGAACGGGUGAGUAACACGUGAGUAACCUGCCCCUCACUUCUGGGUAACCGCUUGAAAGGGUGGCUAAUACGGGGUGUUCUGGCUGUACCGCAUGGUGUGGCUGGGAAAGGUUCCUUUUGGUGGUGUUUUGGUGGGGGUCGGGGUCGCGGCCUAUCAGCUUGGUGGGGGGGUGAUGGGCUGACAAGGCGUUGACGGGUAGCCGGGAUGGGAGGGUGGGCGGUCAUACUGGGAAGGCGAGACGGCCAAGACUCCGGCGGGAGGCAGCAGGGGGGGGUAUUGCACAAUGGGCGGAAGGCUGAUGCAGCGACGCGGCGUGAGGGAUGGAGGCCUUCGGGUUGUGAACCUCUUUCGCCGGUGAAGAAGGUCCUGCUCUUUGUGGGGGGGUUGACGGUAGCCGGGUUAUGAAGCGCCGGCUAACUACGUG